CCUACGGGUGGCAGCAGUUAUUAAUAUUUUUCCCUUUUCUCUCUCCUUCCCCCGCCCCGUCGCGUGCGGGAGGACGGCCCUACGGGUUGUAAACCUCUUUUGCCGGGGAGCAACGGGCGUCACGUGUGGCGCCACUGAGAGUACCCGGAGAAAAAGCAUCGGCUAACUCCGUGCCAGCAGCCGCGGUAAUACGGAGGAUGCGAGCGUUAUCCGGAUUUAUUGGGUUUAAAGGGUGCGUAGGCGGAUCGUUAAGUCAGUGGUCAAAUUGAGGGGCUCAACCCCUUCCCGCCAUUGAAACUGGCGCUCUUGAGUGGAAGAGAAGUAUGCGGAAUGCGUGGUGUAGCGGUGAAAUGCAUAGAUAUCACGCAGAACCCCGAUUGCGAAGGCAGCAUGCCGGCUUCCGACUGACGCUGAAGCACGAAAGCGUGGGGAUCGAACAGGAUUAGAUACCCGGGUAGU
rnacentral:rRNA from 1 species